GGGUAGUGCCGGCUGCCCAGAGAAAGGAAGUACGCGCUGGGCAUAGAGCUAAGGGCGAGCCCUGGAAGGGAAGAGCGCGUGGAGCGAAAUGCGCACCACGCGGCCCUCUCUUCCUGUGCGAUUCAAGCUGGCUUGGAACAGACAAGGAAAUUGUCGAUUUAGAAAGGAUGUGUCAGUCAGCGUGCUGGCUCGUGCUUGUAAUUCUAGCACUUGGGAGGCCUAGGCAGAAGGAUUGCUAUGAGUUCAAGGCCAGCUUGGGCUACAUAGUAAUUUCCAAGCUAGUCUGGGUGUUACAUAGUAAGACUCUGCUGAACUGAAACAAACAAAAAAAAAAAAACAGCAACCGUGGCGCAGACUCCUGCUGAAGGAAUGCAGGGCCCCAGCCACUGUCAGCAUUUGGAAAGAUAGCAGGAGGAGAGAAAUGAAGCCACAGACUAAUGAGGCAGCUGCCUUGGCCUGGCUCUGUGCCUAAGGGAUAGAACCUCUGGUGGAAGGGAGGUCACCAGGAAAGCCAUUGCAAAGCACCCCAGUGAAGCCCAUAUCUUUACAGGACUUCCGGGGUCCUGCAGCUUGCUUCCACCUGUCCAGUCUGGAAAAUACUAUAACAAUAUAUAUAUGUGUCCGUGCCAAAUUGUUACAGUAAAUGCUCUGGACUACUUUCUAUGCAUCUCAGUUCAGCUGAAUGGCUUACAGAAGUCUGGCUCCAUGUUUAAGGAUGAAGCUUCAGUCACCUGGUCCUGCCAGCAAUACACUGAAAAAAAGAAAUUCUUCAGAAAGUCACUAUUGAUCCUAAGGUCUAGGAGAGUCACAACUUGGGUUAUUGAAAGCUCUUCAAGAAGCUGGAAGGUGGUGGUGCACGCCUUUAAUCCAAGCACUCAGGAGUCAGAGGCAGGUGAAUCUCUGAGUUAGAGGCCAGCCUGGUCUACAGAGCGAGUUCCAGGAGAACCAGGGUAUACAGAGAAACCCUGUAUCAAUAAACCUGGGUAGCCUACUUAGGCUUGGACAGGGUGGCACUUUUAGCCAAGCGUGUGUGUCUCUGCACAUGCAAGACAUACUGUGAAACCACUCCUAGCUUGGCCUAUAGUAAGCAACAGACACGUGAAAUCUGAGGACUUGGAAAGUGGUGAUGAGAAGACAGCCUGGGCCACAGAGUGGGACCCUAACUCCACAAGCAAACAAACCAACCAUGACAAGCCACAAAGAAACAAGCAAACUUCCUCUUUUGCUUUCCUUCAAAACAGAACACUCGGGCAUCUUGCCACAUCCUCAGUCCCCAUGGCUCUGUAGCUCAAGUCAGCUCAGCUGUGUGGAAGGCUGGGACCUGGGCUCUGCCCCGUGGAGGGAGGCUUCCUGUCCUUCAGCCUGUGAGUCUCUGUUCCAGCUUGCUCUGGGUGCUUCUCACGCAUAGCCAUAGUCAUUGCUGAUUCUCACUGUCACCUAUUAAAAGUCCUAUCUGCUGCAGCAGUGCCCUAUGUACACACAGAGUGCACUGUAGAGGCCCGUGAGAGGAGCCUUUGCUGAGUAGGCCUAGCAACCCGAGUUUGAGCCUUAGAACCCAGGGAAAGAUGGGCAGAGGGAUCCAACUCCACACAGUUGUCUUCUUACUCCCACGAAAGUGCUUACACACACAUACACAGACACACAGACACACACACACACACGAGUUAAAAGCAUUUGCUGCUGCUGCAGGGGACUCGGGUUCAGUUCCCAGCACCCAGGCUGAAUCGCUCACAACUGCCUAGAACUUCACAAAGCUGAACCUCCAGUCUCUCCAUGCACUUACCCAUAUCCAUAAUUUUUUUUUUAAAAAGUGAUUGGUCCUGCUUUAAAAAUUAUUUUCAGGGCAGGUGAGAUGGCUCAGUGGUUAAGAGCACUGACUGCUCUUUCGGAGGUCAUGAGUUCAAAUACCAGCAAGCACAUGGUGGCUCACAACCAUCCGUAAUGAGAGAAAAAAUAUUAUUUUCAACUCAAAGUUAGAGGCUCACCACACCUGUAAUCCCAGGAAGCAAGAGACUGAUGGUGUAGGGUUGCUGUGAAUUCGAAGCCAGUCUGGUCUACACAACGAAUUCCAAUCUAUCUCAAAUACCAACAACAAUAAUUACUUUUACAAAGAAAUUUCACCCAGUAUUAGUAUUAUAAUCCAUUUCCCAAGUCACUACACUACUAGUGUGUUUUUAAAAAGAUUUUUAUUUUAUGUAUAUGAGUGAUUUUUCUGCAUGUCUUCAAGUGUUACCAUAUGCAUGCACUGCCUAUGGAGGCCAGAAAAGGACAUCAGAUGCCCUGGAACUGAAGCUAGAGUUGGUUGUGAGCCACUUUGUGGGAGCUGGGAACUGACCCUGGGUCCUCUGUAAGGGUAGCCAGUGCUCUAAGUCACUGAGCAAUCUCUCCAGCCCAGCUCUGGCUAUCCUGUAACUCACUCUGUAGACCGGGCUAGGGCCUCAAACUCGGAGAUCUGCCUGCCUCUGCCUUCUGAGUGCUGGUAUUAAAGGCGUGAACCGCCACCACCUAUCUUUCUAGUGUGUUUUAAAAAUCUGGGCUUUGUAGCGGCUGGGACAAGUAACAAUAUUCACAUGGCUAAUUCUCAACCGUAUGAAACCACAUUCUCACAUAGAACCCUGUCUGGUCCUUUCAACAUGGGGAGUAGGCACCUCCAACCUCCCAAAGUAUUCAGAUUCGUGUAUUUUUACAUAUUGAUGUUGACAAAGGAAAUACUCAACAAAUGACCCACACUUCUCUUCCCACCUUUAUCUGGGGCACUUCUUGGUGAAUGGUUGUGCAAAUCACAUUAGUAAUUAACACUCCACAACCCACAGCUUCCACAGCAGAGGGAAGUAGACUCUGAUCACUUCAGAUAGCACGGUUUUCACUCUCAAGUGUCCCACUAACCCUCCAUAGACAGGUUCCCGUUACUUCCUCUACAAAAAUAGCACAGACAACUUAAAUAAUGUACCCCAGCCAACACAGCAAGGUAGAGAUAACGUGGUCCUGCUGUGUUGCCUUCAGAAUAUUUUUUUUUCAAAUUCAAGUUGCAGUUGAAUAGAAUUUAAGCCUAGUGUGUGGUUUCACUCUUUUGGAUUUCAGUUUUACAGUUAUUGUUUGGUUUUGUUGCAAAGUGGGGGGAUUCAGGGAAAUUAGAGACCUAGAUAAGAUAGCUCAGGAAUCACUGGCUUACAGUGGUUCGUCUAUUCUUUUCAUGAGUGCCUGUCUGUCUGUGCCUUAUAAGUCACAACGGCUCCUCUGAGGCAGACCUACAUCAUCACUGGCUACACAGAGGGCAGCCAACAUCUUUUCCAGAUAACAGACUCUAGUAAGUAAGUUUACAGUUUAGCCACCUACCUCUAAACACUGUUGACUAGUGCCUAAGCAUUGUAUUUUAAGAGUGAGUUUUAAAUUUCCAGUUAUGUGUACGCGUGUGUGUCUGUGCCUGGGUGAAUACGGUUGUUUGUAGAUGCCAGCAACUGUACUCACUGGAGUCCAUUGGUUCCCCUGGAGCUGGAGUUAUAGACAGUUGUGAGCUGCCUGAUGCUGGGAACGAAACCCAACUUCUCUACAAGAAUAAAUACACUCUUUUCUUUUUUUUUUAUAGCUAUUCAAUUUUUUUGUUUGUCUGCUUUUUUUUUUUUUUUUUUUUUUUGGGACAAUGUUUCUAUGUGUAGCCCUGGAUGGCCUGGGAUUCACUCUGUAGACUAGGAUCAGAUAGCCACCUGCCUCUGACUCCUGAAUGCUGGGAUUGGUUAGCAGACAUAACUCUUAAUCACUGAGCCAUCACUCUAGCCCCAAGAACCGUAUUUUAAUUUUGUGUAUGCAUGUAUAUGAGAGGACACAUGACGUGCUCACAGAGACAGAGGUUAAGUCGGGUAUUGUCUUAGUCAGGGUUUCUAUUCCUGCACAAACUUCAUGACCAAGAAGCAAGUCGGGGAGGAAAGGGUUUAUUCGGCUUACACUUCCAUACUGCUGUUCAUCACCAAGGAAGUCAGGACUGGAACUCAUGCAGGUCAAGAAGCAGGAGCUGAUGCAGAGGCCAUGGAGGGAUGUUACUUACUGGUUUGCUUCCCCUGGCUUGUUUAGCUUGCUUUCUUAUAGAACCCAGGACUACCAGCUCAGGGAUAGCACCACCCACCCACCUUGAUCACUAAUUGAAAAAAAUGCCCUACAGCUGGAUCUCCUGGAGGCAUUUCCUCACCUGAAGCUCCUUUCUCUGUGAUAACUCCAUCUGUGUCAAGCUGACACACAGAACCAGCCAGUACAGGUAUCUUUUCCAGUUGUUCUUCACCUUGAUUUUUUUUUUUUUUAGACAAGAUCAGUCACUGGCACCUGUGGGCAGUUAGCUCCAGAGGUCCUCCUGUCUCUACCUCCCCAGUGAUGGGGUUAUAAGCAUGUCAUCAUGCCUAGAUUUUUUUUUUCCUUUUAAAAUGUGGGUCCUGGGGAUCAAACUAAGGUCCUCGUGCUCAUGUGGAAAAUAUUUUACCCAUACAACCAUCUCUUCAGACCAUUUAUUAAUUUUUUUAGACUUAUUUAUUUUAUGUAUGUGAGUAUACUGCAGCUGUACAGAUGGUUGUGAGAUGGAUGUGGUUGUUGGCAAUUGAAUUUUUAGGACCUCUACUCGCUCCGGUCAACUCUGCUUGCUCAGUACCUAUUUGCUCCAGCCCAAAGAUUUAUUAUUGUACAUAACUACACUGUAGCUGUCUUCAGACACCAGAAGAGGAUGUCAGAUCUUAUUACAGGUGGUUGUGAGACACCAUGUGGUUGCUGAGAUUUAAACUCAGGACCUUCAGAAGAGCAGUCAGUGCUCUUACCCACUGAGCCAUCUCUCCAGCCCCAGACCAUCCAUUAUUAAGCCAUGCCCCAGUCUGGGAUCCUUAUUCUUUGUGAACCUGGAGAUCCAGCUUCAGGACACCUGAGUCUCCCACAGCAUCUUCUGCAAUGAGACACUCUGGAGCCAUAUGCCAGGGGAAAGAAGGACAUUUUCUGUUUUCUGGCUCUUUAUGCCCCCAAAGCAUCUCUUUGCUGCACAGAAGCUAACAUUACUAGCAUCAGAGUAUUGGCAUAGUCUGGGGUCUGAGUGCUCUCCCAACCUCAGAGGUUGGCAGGAAGGGCUGCAGCAACCCCUGUGUCUUCAUGGUGCUCCUUCAUUUCUCGUUUGAUCUUCACACAACACAGCCUGGCCCAGGAGAUGGUGGGCCCCGACCCUGGGGAAGUUCUUGCAAGCCAACCUAAAUGUAACCGACAACCAACCUAGGCAAGGUGAUGGUUUCAGUCAAGGGCAGGGACCUGAAACAUGUAGCCCGGUCAGAAUCCUCUCUCACACCGCGUUAGAAAAUUGCUGUCUGGGGUGGGGAGGGGGCGCAGAAGAAGUCCAGAUAUGGUGGCGCAUGGCUGUAAAAUCCCAGCACUUGGAUGGCUGAGCUGGGAGGAGUGCCACACAUUCUAGCCUGGUCUGAGCUGCGGUGUCAAGCCUUGCCAACAGAGGCACAGCAGAGGGGUUAGAGAGGCAGCAUAGUUGGAAGUGUGAGCCUGGGGGUCUGCAUUCAGAUCUGUGGGCACUCUUGUAACAAGCGGAGCAUGGUAGAGCAUGCCUGUGAGCUAAGCAUGGCGGAAGCAAAGAUAAGAAGAUUCCCAGGGCUCAGUGGCCAGUCAAGUCUAGCUGGGUAGGUGAGAGGAAGGAGGGGCCUCCUCUCCCUGCAUGUCUCUGAAACCAUCAAGGGUCCUCGGGUUUUGUGACGCCUUCUCCCACACUCAUCUAUCCUCUGCCGUGCCCACCUUGGCUCUUGCCCUGUUCUCUGCUUGCCUCCUCUAUCCCGCUUGCUUCUCCCUCUCUUCCCUUGCAUUCCUAAAACUACCCAGGGCGAGGUCUUUUGAAGGGAUACCUGGUGCUGCACUUGCCUGUUUGGGCAAUCCAGGGGUGCCCUGCUUGCUGCCUGGGUCUGAAUGUCUCUGCUCAAGCUGUGUCUGUUAGUUUCUGACCUUGACUCUUGUACGGUUUGCCCUGUCCCUUUCCGCACACCUCCGUCUUCCGCCCACAGCUUCCUGGCUCUCCUUUGCUCUGACCACUCACUUUAAUGGAAAAGCAUUUGCUCUGCUGGGCUUCCGGCUUCCUCUCUCUGACCAUACCAGGCGCCAGGCUUCAUCAUACCCUUGCUCCUGCUCAGUGUCCUCUUUGACAGGAAAUCAAUGAGAUCUUAGAAUGUAUUUGGGAGUGUCUGUGGGUCUGGGCACCUUCAUUAAAGCAAAGAGCGAACCCCGAGACUGUGAGCUGGGGGUCGAGGCUAUUCCGGAGGGUGCCAGCUACUCAUUCUCUUGUAGGAAUACCAGACGAGAGUGUGAAGCAACUACUUUACCCUUAUGCCCUCUGCCAGAGUGGUAGAGUCUAUGAAGAAUCCACUAGCCAACAACAGCACAUCUUCAUGGUGAGGAAGUCGCCACACACUCCAGCAGAGGGACAGUAGGUCCUCAGCGUCAAGAACAUUUGCGUGAUUUCUGCAAGUGACCCUAAGUGCAGGCGGUGUGACCUACACCUCUGAUUCCACGCCUCUCUGUCUCUGGAAUUGUGUGUGGCCCAGCUAUGUGUGUGUUUCUGAUGGAGGCAGAAACAAUUCCAGUCCUCAUAUAACUCUACGGUGAAGAGGAAGAGGCUGGCGAUGGAGUUCACAACAGGGUGUUCUCUUAGCACAGAUGAUACCUGGGGGAUUGGGCCACUGCACGGCAUAAGCCAGAUUUGGUGGUGCACACCUCUAAUCCUAGUGCUCUGGGAAGUGGAGACAGGAUUGGGUCCGGGAUCUGUCCCGGAUACCUUGUUGUCAUAUGUGGGGAGCCGCCCUCACAUUCGCCGUUGCAAGAUGGCGCUGACAUCCUGUGUUCUAAGUGG